AACAAAUGUGUGACAACUGUGACAUUCCUGUAGUUUCUGAGGCACUGCAUGCCUCAGUUAAAAAAUGGAGUGGAGAUGUUACAACGAAUGACCUCUUUAAUAUAACCAAGAUUACAGUUGAUUCUAUUGUCCCUAUCGGAGAACUCCUGCUCCAGGUAAAAUUAACAUUUGAUGUCCAGAAAGCUGUAUGCCAUGAAAAUGACAGAAAUGACUUGGUGGGAUGUCAGCUGGAAAGUCCCCAAGACACUAAAGCUGCUACUUGCACCAGCCAAGUCAUGUUUGAAGCUGGCGAGAUCCAGAGUGUUACAGUAGAAUGCAGUGAACCAACAACAGUGCGUCCCACACCAACACCAUCGACAACAUCAACUCCAACAUCAUUGUUAACUGCAACAUCAUCGAAAACUCCAACUUCAACAGCAACAUCAACAAUAUCAUCAUUGAAAAGCAGUCACUCAUCAGAGGAAACCUGGAGGGCGAUGCAUUUUUAUUUAGGGAAAACACAGAUAUAGCCAGAAGAGCUAUAGAUCAAAAGGCAAAAAAAGUAGCUGGGCGAGAGGAAAGCAUUACUCGAAAUGGGGGAAACACAAAUCAGGAGGAAGAAAGUCCAACGGGAGAAGAGGAAGGGACAAUUCCCGGAGAGGAAUAAAUGGCUCUCACUCUCAAAGAAUCUACAACAACAACUCACAAGGCUGAAGGCAUGAUAAAACACAGCCAGAACCUUUUAGGAAGAAUGGACGGUGACAUAAAGGCAAAGGAAACUGAUGAACAGGAAGAAAAUUCCAUUCGACUUUAACUGCUUAAUUUUAAAUCAUUUAAUGAGAAGUAGCUUGCUGCUUAAUUAUUAGUAUUUCAAAAUAUAGCUUAUUACAUUGCUGCUCAAGAUAUUGUCACUGCUCAACAAUGUCUGGUAUGUGAACUAAAUGUAGCAAACUGAUUCAUACAACAAAUCAAUGUAAAC